ACUAACAGUUGGAGCAUGGCAGAAGGCUAAAGCAGGGAGAGUGGGCUAUCCCUCAGUAAUCCCUGAUCCCUGAAUGGGUUAUCCCUCUGUGAUCCUGUGAGUCUUCACAGGCAUGGCAUUUUGCUGCCUGUGUGCUAAGCUGACCCGCACAGGAGCUGGGCACAGUAUGCCCGCAGGAGCAGGGCUCAGUAUACCAUGCAUGGGGAAACAGCAGGACACUGCAGGAGCUGGCAUGCAUCCUCACGCCCAAGGAGCCUUGAGAACGAGCUCUCCACGGUAUGCACCAUGAUGAUGGGAGCCGUUGGAGUCUGGAAUACAUCGUUUUUGCCUCCCCCCACUUUCUGGGGAAGAAUCAAGAAAAAGGAAACAGAAAACAUUAGGUGAUGGAAGAUGUUGUGUUCAAGCCUCCUUUCUUCUCCCACUUUCAUUCUAAGAACUUCUGAGAACAGGAAACUGGGCUGUGUACUUUCUCGUGCUCUGUGGAAGCCGGACAUACAAACCCUUUGCUGUAUAUUCCCCAUGAUCCUGGGUGCCUACUGGAUGCUUCUCCAUGGGACUGGUGUUGCGACCAGACCUGCUUUACCCAAAGAAUGAAUGGAUGCCGUCCAACUUGCUUAUCCCAUCUUUCCCAGAGAGUCUUAACUAGUAAGGGAACAUUUCAGUAAAUGAGACCUGAGACCACAGUUUGUACAAGAGACCAACAGAUUUUGAUUUUCAGAGAUCGAAAUAAUUUCAAGUAGAUGAAGCCAUACCCACGUGAAUUUUGUUCCCCAACUUAAAGUGAUUCGCAGAUUUAAAAAUCACGAAUUGUGUUUGGUUGAAAGACAUCAUCUGAAUGAGGAACGUGGGAAAUAUGAGGUACCCUUUCACACAGAUGACAAGAAACAAAGGUCUGCCAUGUGCAAAGGCACCUGGCUUGACUGGAGUGGUUUUUGUGAGGACCACAAGAGACUGAAGUUUACUUCCCCAUCAAGCUUGAACACCGAUUUUUGUCUAGCCAUCUAACCAAGUACACAUAGGGGUAACAUCAGGUGAAUCAAGACAUGUUUUGAUAUAAGACAUAGCUAAUAAAAAUUAGCAGUAUCUAUCUCCUCUA